UUCUUGUUCAGGUCGUGGCCCGGGUCGAGGACGAUCUGCUCGUCGCGGACGCCGAGCGUCCGGGCCCGUUCGAGCCGGGUGGCGAGGAA
rnacentral:tRNA from 1 species